rnacentral:lncRNA from 1 species
CUGAGAACCAGAUGCCAACCCUGUGGAAGACAGCUGGACUUGCAUGUGUUAAAGGAUCCCCAACAAAGAGCACCAUCUGAAGUGCAUUUCCAGCCAGAAGAAGGGCUGCACUGGAGAAUGGAAGGAGCUUUCAAGUGGAUGAAACAGUGAAGCUUUAAUGUUAGCCUGGACUUUUUAACAUUGGGAAAUAAAACUAUUUGUUAUCAACUAAAAGACACAAAAUUCCAUGGAGGUUCGGACUAUCUCUUCUUUUCAGUGUGCUUUGAGGAAUCUCCAAAGCAGAAGUGUGGUCUGGUGCUUUAUUCAUUGUGGGGAGACAGGUCUGCAACAUUCCUCAGUCUUGGUCGCUGCCUCCGUGAGUCUUUAUGAGGGUAGCAUUAAUGUAGAGUCCUCUUCUGACUUUUCCCCCUAGGCACAAUUAGCUUGGC